AACAAAACAUCUCUCUGCACAAUUUUUUUUUUUUGUUUUUGAUAAACAUCUAAUAUAAUUUAGAUGCUUAAGUAUGUAGGUUAAUAAGGUUAAAUUCGGUUUUUUACUUUACCGUAACGAAUUUAGCUACAGGAUACAGCAACGUACAUACAUAUGUUAAUUAUACAAAACUAAUGCUUAUGCGGUGCGAUAACAACUGACUUUACAAAUUUUUAAGGAGGAAACUGAAAGUAAUAUCUAUAUAUGGUAUGAUUUUAGACAUUAUUUACCGGCAAUAUGAAUAAUAUCACGCAAAUAAUAAAUUGGCACGUGUUGUUGUCCAAUAAGAACUAAUGCCAAAUAAUCAAUUGAUUUUCCAGCUAAUAUAUUUAUGUAUAAUAAGAAACUAUGUUCUAUAAUGCACAGUUGGUUUGCAAUCUAGAAUGCAUAUUCUUCGUUGCACUUAUGUGUAUCUCACACUACGGUAGUUUUAAUUUAUUCGACAAAAAAUUGUUUAACUCACACACGAAUUAUUACAGCAAGCGACAACUCAACACCGCUGCAGUCAAAUAAAGAAUGCUAAAUGAAAGCAAUUUGUAAAAUUA